UCCGCGGUAGCUCAGUGGUAGAGCAGUGCGCUGUUAACGCAUUGGUCGUAGGUUCGAAUCCUGCCCGCGGAGCCA
rnacentral:tRNA from 1 species